CAGCAGCCACGGGAAUACGAGGGGGGCAAGCGUUGUUCGGAAUUAUUGGGCGUAAAGGGCGCGUAGGCGGUUUGGCAAGUUUGGUGUGAAAUCUUCGGGCUCAACUCGAAGUCUGCACCGAAAACUGCCGGGCUUGAGUAUGGGAGAGGUGAGUGGAAUUUCCGGUGUAGCGGUGAAAUGCGUAGAUAUCGGAAGGAACACCUGUGGCGAAAGCGGCUCACUGGACCAUUACUGACGCUGAGGCGCGAAAGCUAGGGGAGCAAACAGGAUUAGAUACCCGAGUAGUCCCUGUCUCUUAUAC
rnacentral:rRNA from 1 species